UACGAAGGGGGCUAGCGUUGUUCGGAAUUACUGGGCGUAAAGCGCACGUAGGCGGAUUGUUAAGUGAGGGGUGAAAUCCCAGGGCUCAACCCUGGAACUGCCUUUCAUACUGGCAAUCUCGAGUCCGAGAGAGGUGAGUGGAAUUCCGAGUGUAGAGGUGAAAUUCGUAGAUAUUCGGAGGAACACCAGUGGCGAAGGCGGUCUGCUGGGCCGUUGCUGACGCUGAGGCGCGACAGCGUGGGGAGCAAACAGG
rnacentral:rRNA from 1 species